GACGAACGCUGGCGGCGUGCCUAAUACAUGCAAGUUGAGCGCUGAAGGUUGGUACUUGUACCGACUGGAUGAGCAGCGAACGGGUGAGUAACGCGUGGGGAAUCUGCCUUUGAGCGGGGGACAACAUUUGGAAACGAAUGCUAAUACCGCAUAAAAACUUUAAACACAAGUUUUAAGUUUGAAAGAUGCAAUUGCAUCACUCAAAGAUGAUCCCGCGUUGUAUUAGCUAGUUGGUGAGGUAAAGGCUCACCAAGGCGAUGAUACAUAGCCGACCUGAGAGGGUGAUCGGCCACAUUGGGACUGAGACACGGCCCAAACUCCUACGGGAGGCAGCAGUAGGGAAUCUUCGGCAAUGGACGAAAGUCUGACCGGGCAACGCCGCGUGAGUGAAGAAGGGUUUCGGAUCGUAAAACUCUGUUGGUAGAGAAGAACGUUGGUGAGAGUGGAAAGCUCAUCAAGUGACGGUAACUACCCAGAAAGGGACGGCUAACUACGUG
rnacentral:rRNA from 1 species